GGGGGUGCCGCUCACAUGGCUCCCCGAGUGGAGGCUCCAGGAUAUAUAGUCCCUUGGCUUAUCUGUCCUCUCCCCCCAGGUGAAGGCUUCAGCUUGAUGGGAGGCUGUGCAAAAAGACAAAUAUCUCAACACUUAUCCACAAUAGUAUCCUCUUGUAGAGAAUGUUUUUUUGUUGUUGUUGUUGCCUUUCUUUUUUUCUUUCUUUUUUUUUUUUGUAAAUCUCGUUCUGUCUUCUGGCUUCUUCUCUUUGAGCAGACACUCACACAGCAACCCUCUAAUCCUUGUGUGCAGCUCCACCAGACUGCGAGAGGGAGAGAGAGAGAGAGACAGAGAGAGCUACA